rnacentral:rRNA from 1 species
AACGAACGCUGGCGGCAUGCCUAACACAUGCAAGUCGAACGAGACCUUCGGGUCUAGUGUCGCACGGGUGCGUAACGCGUGGGAACCUGCCCUUAUGGUCGGAAUAACUCCCCGACAGGGGUGCUAAUACCGGAUAAUGUCUUCGGACCAAAGAUUUAUCGCGUUUGGAUGUGCCCGCGUUGGAUUCGCUCUUUCUUAGGGUAAGAGCCUACCAAGGCGACGAUCCAUAGCUGGUCUGAGAGAAUGCUCAGCAACACUGCGACUGAGACACGGCCCAGACUCCUACGGGAGGCAGCAGAGGGGAAUAGUGGACAAUGGGCGGAGGCCUGAUGCAGCAAGGCCGCGUGAGUGAUGUAGGCCGUAGGGUUGUAAAGCUCUUGUACCCGGGAUGAUAAUGACAGUACCGAGAGAAUAAGCUCCGGCUAACUCCGUG